GGCUUUUUUAGAGUAGCANUACUUUGAAAAAGCUAGUGGCNAACGGGUGCGUANCACGUGGAACAAUCUACCUUUAAGGUGGGGAAUAUCUCGUCGAAAGGCGCAAUUAAUACCGCAUGUGGUCAGGCUUCGCAUGAAGCCUGAACUAAAGUCNNGGACCGCAAGGCCUGACNCUUAUAGAGGAGUUCGCGGCCUAUCAGCUANCUUGGCGAGGUUAUGGCUCACCANGGCUAAAACGGGUAGCUGGUCUGANAGGAUGAUCAGCCACACUGGAACUGAGACACGGUCCAGACACCUACAGGUGGCAGCAGUUUCGAAUCAUUCACAAUGGGCGAAAGCCUGAUGGUGCGACGCCNCGUGAGGGAUGACGGCCUUCGGGUUGUAAACCUCUGUCACC
rnacentral:rRNA from 1 species